AUGUCUAGCUCGACUUCGGCCUCCCGCCAAUCAUGGACGCAGUACGGUCCACUGCCGUUGACAAGAUGCCCCGAUUGCCCGCGCAUGGAGCCUCUGAAGCGUUUGACUUGUGUGAGGGAAGAAAAUGGCAACCGUGGGCGCGAGUUUGUGAAAUGCUUGAGCAAGCCACAACCGGGGCAGGUUCGGAAGAAAUGUGGGCAUUUUGAGUGGCUCGAUGACUAUGUUGAAAGGUUGAAAUUGGAGGGAUCAACCCGAACCCAAGAGCUCAAUUUUGGGGGGCGGCUUGUCGUGGAACAAGCCCCCAAUUUGGCGGCGGACAGAGCCGAUCUAAUGAUGCACAGUGCAGAACUGCAGUGUGAAUUGAAGAAAAUUGGCAAGCAACUAAAGCAUCUGAUCGAUUUGAAGCAGCAAGCAAAUAUGAUGGCUGGAGCAUUGUAUGGUUGUGUCAUUGCUAUGGGUUUAUUUUACUUGAUGUUC
rnacentral:rRNA from 1 species